CUUUUUCACAGCAGACUUACUAGCUAUCUGUGAAGAGUGAUACUUGUAUGUUUGUUAAUAUCACUUAUCAUAGCCUCCCAGGUAGCUACUAAGUGUGCUGUGAUAUUAACAAAUAUCACUUUUCACAGCAAGCCCAGGACCCGCUAAGCCCUGGAUGGGGCUAAAGGGGGAGGCAGCAUUAUUUUUGUUAUUGAGUCUGCCAAAAAACCCUACCGAUAUACAUUACAAUGAUUUGGAAGUGUAUCUGUGCAUAUUUAAUUGUUUUUCCUAAAGUUAAUUAAGUAUUUUAGGGAAAAAAGUGUCAGUGUGGCCACCAGUGAGAGUUGGGGGCCACACUCUGAGGCUAUCAAAAAUUUUGUUGCAAGAACCCCUGGCCUAGAGCCCUUCCCUUAGCCACACAUUUCACUGACCAUUCAUAGCAAUAUAUUUCACUGCGCUUCUCAGUUAGUGCUCUGAUACCAGCAUGAUGGACUCAGUAUAAAAACCUGAAGAGGAAAUUCAGCUAAAUUAGUAAUAUAGCUAACCCUGCACAUUUUAGGAGCUUGGUAGAUUUUUUGCUAAUAUAGUCAGUUUGAGAGUUUCAAAGGCUCAUAACUUUGUAAAUCAACACCAAGAAUUUAGUCAUUAAGAUUUUUAAUAAGGUUUUAUUACUAUAGAAUAAUAUUAUGCAGUGUUCAUUACUGUAUUUUCUGGUUUGCUUCCAGGCAACUUGAUUUCUAUCCAUGUUCUAGUGCUUAAGGAUGUGUUCAUGUAUGCUGUGGCCUGGAUUUAUCAAAGAAAGACUGAGCUAUCCUUAACUAUGGAGACAUUGCUAAGAAGCUCAAGGACUAUGAACUUUUGGGACCUCGUGAAAGGAAGGCCACUUCUUCUCUGAGUAAUCCCCACUCCAAUCCUAC
rnacentral:lncRNA from 1 species